CUGAGAGCAGCAGCACAGGAGGCUGCCUGUCAAUGUCCCAGCCAGGAGCUGCCUGCAAAUGCUUCUGGCUCCGUUGAGACGGCUGAACUUGAGCCCAGCCCAGCAAUCAAGCACAUUAGCCCAGUCCUUCCAGCCCCGAACUAAAAGGUUCUGGUCCCUGCACAAGUAAGAAUUCUAAUGCAAUCUGAAAAUACACACUGACCUUAGGUGAUGCAGCCUGUCUCCUGAGAAGAUUUGGGGGAAAGGAAUGAAACAAGGAGAUUUAAAUAGCAGAUAAUUGCAAACAUGUUGUUUUUUGGCUUAGAAGGUAUUGUAUGGCUUUUCAUUAUUAUUAUUGUUGUUGUUGUUGUUGUUUGGAGAGUUGCUUUAGUUUUCAGAUUAAAUCUCAAGUUUUCAAGUCUAAGUCUUUUCUUCGUUUACAAUCCUUCAGGAGUGUUCCAUUGCAAUGGGGGAGGCUGUCACCACCUGGACCCUGCUCUCUAGCUAUACCCAGUGAAAUGGGCUACAGUAGCAAUAUUUUUGGAGUUCCCAGAAUGUUCUGCCUUCCCCUCUUGCUGUGCUUUAGGUGAGUGUCCACAGGGGGGCACUGUUGGAAGGUGCUGUGAACCUUUGUGAAGUGGGGCCCUGUGGAGGGUCUUUAGGUCACUGGAGGUGUGUCCUUGAAGAGGAUUGUAGGACCUGCACCCCUCUCCUUCCUCUUUCUCUCUCUUUGCUUUCCUGGCAUAUAAGAUAAGCAGUCUGCAUGGCCAUGUGCUCUGGUCUUUAAUUAUGGAUUGGAACCUCCAAAACCCUGGGCCAAAAUAAACGUUUUUCUCUUUAUCAGUUAAUUGUGUCAGGGAUUUUGUUAUAGUAAUGACAAACUGACAAUACAUCUCUUCUUCCGGUAAUUCAACUACUGUUUCCUAGUGGGAACCUCUAUGGCCCAGGAGCACUGUUCCUUGUCUGUAUCUGCCCAAGGAGAGGUCAGGGAUCAGGACCUGCCAAAGUCUCUCCUUCCCUUCCCCUCAACUGGGAGGCCUGGUGACCUGGGUGAAAGUAUCUCAUCACAAUACUUGCUAUCUGGAGGCUGCAAGAGAGAUGUCGAUCUUUACCUAGAUCCCCAAGGUCAAUGGAACACAUGGACGGAAUACUUUAAGAACUGUUUUCCCACUCCACGACCCACAGUGGAGAAAUCCUGCCUCAGUGGGCUAACCUAGAAGACAGAAGGUCUGAAUCAGACAGAGAAAGAUGCCUGGUCACCAAAAAGAAAGAGAAUGAUCCCUGCAUUGCUCUGGCUUCCUGCCUCCCCUGACACUUCUCCCUCUUGCUCAUGUUUCUACAAUGAUGCUGUCAGUCAUGUUGUGAUCUAACUCUGAAGCUCACUUCAAGACCAAGAUACUGGCACCAUGCUCCUGAAUCUACAGAACUGUGAGCUAAAUAAACUUUCCUUUAUAAAGUU